rnacentral:rRNA from 1 species
AACGUAGGAGACAAACGUUAUCCGGAGUUACUGGGCGUAAAGGGCGUGUAGGCGGUUAGUUAAGUCUGGCGUGAAAGCUCUCGACUAAACCGGGAGAGGUCGUUGGAUACUGGCUGACUAGAGGACGGUAGAGGCGUGUGGAAUUCCUGGUGUAGCGGUGAAAUGCGCAGAUAUCAGGAGGAACACCGGUGGCGAAGGCGGUUCUCUGGGCAUUACCUGACGCUGAGGAGCGAAAGCCAGGGGAGCAAACGGG